rnacentral:rRNA from 1 species
ACAUGCAAGUCGAGCGAACGUUGUAAGAAGCUUGCUUCUUACAACGUUAGCGGCGGACGGGUGAGUAACACGUGGGCAACCUGCCCUGCAGAUGGGGAUAACUCCGGGAAACCGGGGCUAAUACCGAAUAAUCAGUUUGUCCGCAUGGACGAACUCUGAAAGACGGCUUCGGCUGUCACUGCAGGAUGGGCCCGCGGCGCAUUAGCUAGUUGGUGGGGUAAUGGCCUACCAAGGCGACGAUGCGUAGCCGACCUGAGAGGGUGAUCGGCCACACUGGGACUGAGACACGGCCCAGACUCCUACGGGAGGCAGCAGUAGGGAAUCUUCCACAAUGGACGAAAGUCUGAUGGAGCAACGCCGCGUGAGCGAAGAAGGUUUUCGGAUCGUAAAGCUCUGUUGUGAGGGAAGAACAAGUACGGGGGUAACUGUCCGUACCUUGACGGUACCUCAUUAGAAAGCCACGGCUAACUACGUGCCAGCAGCCGCGGUAAUACGUAGGUGGCAAGCGUUGUCCGGAAUUAUUGGGCGUAAAGCGCGCGCAUGCGGUCCUUUAAGUCUGAUGUGAAAGCCCACGGCUCAACCGUGGAAGGUCAUUGUAAACUGGAGGACUUGAGUACAGAAGAG